GACGAACGCUGGCGGCGUGCCUAAUACAUGCAAGUUGAGCGCUGAAGGUUGGUACUUGUACCAACUGGAUGAGCAGCGAACGGGUGAGUAACGCAUGGGGAAUCUGCCUUUGAGCGGGGGACAACAUUUGGAAACGAAUGCUAAUACCGCAUAAAAACUUUAAACACAAGUUUUAAGUUUGAAAGAUGCAAUUGCAUCACUCAAAGAUGAUCCCGCGUUGUAUUAGCUAGUUGGUGAGGUAAAGGCUCACCAAGGCGAUGAUACAUAGCCGACCUGAGAGGGUGAUCGGCCACAAUGGGACUGAGACACGGCCCAAACUCCUACGGGAGGCAGCAGUAGGGAAUCUUCGGCAAUGGACGAAAGUCUGACCGAGCAACGCCGCGUGAGUGAAGAAGGUUUUCGGAUCGUAAAACUCUGUUGGUAGAGAAGAACGUUGGUGAGAGUGGAAAGCUCAUCAAGUGACGGUAACUACCCAGAAAGGGACGGCUAACUACGUG
rnacentral:rRNA from 1 species